GAUCAGGCCACUGCACUCCAGCCUGGGCAACAGAGCAAGACUCUGUCUCAAAAAAAAAAAAAAAAAGACAAAAUGUUUUAAUGAGGAGAUAAAAAUCACUGAACCAGCCUGUUGUUUUUAUAUUGGAUCAGUAUAGCUUUGUACUGUACCUGGAAAUAAAAAUAAAAAUUUUUUCUGAGUAAAUUAAUAAGAUGUAGGAAAGAUAUUAAGGUUUAUUUUUAAGUAAGCUCUAAAUAGAAAUGAUAAUCUGAUUAUAAAAAGAAUAUGAAAAAUAUUUAAUAUGCUAGUGCUCUGCUCACUGCAAGCUCUGCCUCCUGGGUUCACACCAUUCUCCUGCCUCAGCUUCCCGAGUAGCUGGGACUACAGGUGCCUGCCACCACACCCGGCUAAUUUUUUUUUUUUGUACUUUUAGUAGAGACAGGGUUUCACUGUGUUAGCCAGGAUAGUCUUGAUCUCCUGACCUCAUGAUCCGUCCGCCUCGGCCUCCCAAAGUGCUGGGAUUACAGGCGUGAGCCACUGCACCUGGCUAAAACCUACAUUUUUUUCAAUUCUCUUUUUAACAUUUGAAAAUUUUGCUUAAUCUAAAAUAUACUCCAGAAGUUUAAAUGGAAAGACCUUAAUAAAAUAUUCAGUCAAAUGCUCUUCCUUUAGAAAUGGAGGCACUGAAGUUCAUUUCUCCUAUCAUUCUAAAUUGAUGUUUCAUUUUGACUAUAUAUUUAGUGAGUUAUGGCAGUAAAAGCAGCUUUAAUUUUUUUUCUGAAAGCCUACUCAUAUUGGAGCCCUUUAUAACUUGCCUCUUGAAGUAUAUAUAUUUACUCAUACAAAUCAAACACUGAUGUCUGUGAAGUUUCAUAUCAUCUUUUAUAUUUGAAUUUUGUUCAUAUACUUAUUGUCACCCAGGCUGGAAGUACAGUGGUGUAAUCUAAGCUCACUGCAACCUCUGCCUCCUGGGUUCAA
rnacentral:lncRNA from 1 species